ACUCAAAGGAAUUGACGGGGACCCGCACAAGCGGUGGAUUAUGUGGAUUAAUUCGAUGCAACGCGAAAAACCUUACCUACCCUUGACAUGUACGGAAUUUCCCAGAGAUGGGAAAGUGCCCGAAAGGGAACCGUAACACAGGUGCUGCAUGGCUGUCGUCAGCUCGUGUCGUGAGAUGUUGGGUUAAGUCCCGCAACGAGCGCAACCCUUGUCGUUAAUUGCCAUCAUUUAGUUGGGCACUUUAACGAGACUGCCGGUGACAAACCGGAGGAAGGUGGGGAUGACGUCAAGUCCUCAUGGCCCUUAUGGGUAGGGCUUCACACGUAAUACAAUGGCCGGUACAGAGGGCUGCCAACCCGCGAGGGGGAGCUAAUCUCAGAAAGCCGGUCGUAGUCCGGAUUGUUCUCUGCAACUCGAGAGCAUGAAGUUGGAAUCGCUAGUAAUCGCGGAUCAGCAUGUCGCGGUGAAUACGUUCCCGGGUCUUGUACACACCGCCCGU
rnacentral:rRNA from 1 species